CUCUGUGACUCCUACGGGAGGCAGCAGUGGGGAAUAUUGCACAAUGGGGGAAACCCUGAUGCAGCCAUGCCGCGUGUGUGAAGAAGGCCUUCGGGUUGUAAAGCACUUUCAGUAGGGAGGAAGGUAGUGUAGUUAACACCUGCAUUACUUUGACGUUACCUACAGAAGAAGCACCGGCUAACUCCGUGCCAGCAGCCGCGGUAAUACGGAGGGUGCGAGCGUUAAUCGGAAUUACUGGGCGUAAAGCGCAUGCAGGCGGCCUGUUAAGUCAGAUGUGAAAGCCCGGGGCUUAACCUCGGAAUUGCAUUUGAAACUGGCAGGCUAGAGUCUUGUAGAGGGGGUAGAAUUUCAGGUGUAGCGGUGAAAUGCGUAGAGAUCUGAAGGAAUACCAGUGGCGAAGGCGGCCCCCCUGGACAAAGACUGACGCUCAGAUGCGAAAGCGUGGGGAGCAAACAGGAUUAGAUACCCUCGGUAG
rnacentral:rRNA from 1 species